AUAAAAGGGCAGAGGUUUCUAGCUGGCUGUCUCUUGUUUGUUGGUACACAGACCCGCCCCACUUGCGUGUUUGCCGUGUUUGCUUCCGCCACCGGUGCAGUGGUGGAUCCUCCGGGUGCAGCCUGUCAACGCAGCCAUAGAAAGCAUGAAGCUCUCUCCUCUCUGCGUCAUCGAUAGGAAAGCCUGAUCGGGCCAAUCCAAUGAUUAAGGGACAUCUGCUGUUUUGCUUCACCGGAUAAAGUGUAUUUAUCGGCACAACUGCUGUUGAUCCUGCCUAAAUGUUUGGGCUGCUGCUACUGUGUUGCUGCUUCUGAUUGCUGCUUCUGGCCAGCUUUGCGUCGCCUACUGCGGAGGCUCGCUCACCAGUUAA